AGCAUUCUGAACUUUCUAUAUGAAAAGAGCUACAAUCAGUCUCAUGCCUCGUCAAGCGCAGUGCCUGAAGCAGGGCUGUGAGUGAUUCCUUCUCAGAUGGAAUAUCUACAAUUGUUUGCACAUUGCUGAAGACUUCAUUGUACCUGAAUUCCUUGCAAGAAGAAAACGUUGUAGAGCCCAAGUUCUAUUGCAUAUACUGUUGAGGUGGCCCAAUAUAUUUUCCUCGUUUUUUUCUCAGACAAGGAAAAAAGUGAAAAGACUUUUAGAAAGUUUUUGAAACAACAGCCUGACUGAAAUAGAAAUGUUGAAAUUUUGAAAUGACUAGCUUUGAAAAUAGGUCACCACUUUCUUCCUUUUGAGUUACUAAAUUCAGUCGCUUGGAUAUUUUGAUUGCCUCUAAAAAUAAAACCUGGUGUC